rnacentral:rRNA from 1 species
GCCUACGGGACGCAGCAGUGAGGAAUAUUGGUCAAUGGGCGCGAGCCUGAACCAGCCAAGUCGCGUGAGGGAAGACGGUCCUAUGGGUUGUAAACCUCUUUUGUCGGAGAACAAAACCCGGGACGAGUCCCGGACUGCGUGUAUCCGAAGAAAAAGCAUCGGCUAACUCCGUGCCAGCAGCCGCGGUAAUACGGAGGAUGCGAGCGUUAUCCGGAUUUAUUGGGUUUAAAGGGUGCGUAGGCGGUCUGUUAAGUCAGCGGUAAAAUUGCGGGGCUCAACCCCGUCGAGCCGUUGAAACUGGCAGG